rnacentral:sRNA from 1 species
UAGAAUCCUGGCCGCCGCGUGUUAUGUGAC